GUGCCAGCAGCCGCGGUAAUACAGAGGGUGCGAGCGUUGUUCGGAAUUACUGGGCGUAAAGCGCGCGCAGGCGGCCCUUUAAGUCCACUGGUGAAAGACCGGGGCUCAACCCCGUGUCAGCCAGGGAUACUGGAGGGCUGGAGACACGUAGAGGCAAGCGGAAUUCCGGGUGUAGCGGUGGAAUGCGUAGAGAUCCGGAAGAACACCGGAGGCGAAGGCGGCUUGCUGGGCGUGAUCUGACGCUGAGGCGCGAAAGCGUGGGGAGCGAACAGGAUUAGAUACCCUGGUAGUCC
rnacentral:rRNA from 1 species